rnacentral:rRNA from 1 species
UACGAAGGUCCCGAGCGUUGUUCGGAAUCACUGGGCGUAAAGGGUGCGCAGGCGGCGCGGAAAGUCAGGUGUGAAAGGCGGGGGCUCAACCCCCGGACGGCAUCUGAUACUCCCGCGCUUGAGAACUGGAGGGGCAACCGGAAUUCACGGUGUAGCAGUGAAAUGCGUGGAUAUCGUGAGGAAGGCCGGUGGCGAAGGCGGGUUGCUGGACAGUUUCUGACGCUGAGGCACGAAGGCCGGGGGAGCGAAAGGG